CUGCAGGAUAACUUUAAGAAAUGGGUAUUAAUUCUCAUUUUAUAAAUGAAGACAUUAAGUAUCAAUGUUUAAGUAGCUUGAUCCACUGAAAGAGAUUCCAUGGUGUGGCACCUAUGCCAUGGAAAGUUGCUUUUUACCAUUGUUGUUGUCUAGCAAUUGCCGAAUAGCUCUGACCUGAGCAAACCAAUGAAACACUGUGCUAUUCAGUGGGUUGCAACUUCACCUUUUCCAACUACUUUAGUCUCGUGGAGGAAAUGCUCCUUCCAAAUAUUUUUGUCAUUGAAUACUCUCUCUCAGCUCUAGGAUACCACAUAGAGUUUUCUUGUAUUUUAUAGUUACUUUUUUAUCAGUUUACCAGUCUUUUGUAUUACAUUUUUCCUGUCUAAA